CGGCGGGCCGCUUUUCUCACCAUGCAAGUCGAACGAUGAUCCCAGCUUGCUGGGGGAUUAGUGGCGAACGGGUGAGUAACACGUGAGUAACCUGCCCUUGACUCUGGGAUAAGCCUGGGAAACUGGGUCUAAUACCGGAUACGACCAUCUGGCGCAUGUCAUGGUGGUGGAAAGCUUUUGUGGUUUUGGAUGGACUCGCGGCCUAUCAGCUUGUUGGUGGGGUAAUGGCCUACCAAGGCGACGACGGGUAGCCGGCCUGAGAGGGUGACCGGCCACACUGGGACUGAGACACGGCCCAGACUCCUACGGGAGGCAGCAGUGGGGAAUAUUGCACAAUGGGCGCAAGCCUGAUGCAGCGACGCCGCGUGAGGGAUGACGGCCUUCGGGUUGUAAACCUCUUUCAGUAGGGAAGAAGCGAAAGUGACGGUACCUGCAGAAGAAGCGCCGGCUAACUACGUGCCAGCAGCCGCGGUAAUACGUAGGGCGCAAGCGUUAUCCGGAAUUAUUGGGCGUAAAGAGCUCGUAGGCGGUUUGUCGCGUCUGCUGUGAAAGACCGGGGCUCAACUCCGGUUCUGCAGUGGGUACGGGCAGACUAGAGUGCAGUAGGGGAGACUGGAAUUCCUGGUGUAGCGGUGAAAUGCGCAGAUAUCAGGAGGAACACCGAUGGCGAAGGCAGGUCUCUGGGCUGUAACUGACGCUGAGGAGCGAAAGCAUGGGGAGCGAACAGGAUUAGAUACCCUGGUAGUCCAUGCCGUAAACGUUGGGCACUAGGUGUGGGGGACAUUCCACGUUUUCCGCGCCGUAGCUAACGCAUUAAGUGCCCCGCCUGGGGAGUACGGCCGCAAGGCUAAAACUCAAAGGAAUUGACGGGGGCCCGCACAAGCGGCGGAGCAUGCGGAUUAAUUCGAUGCAACGCGAAGAACCUUACCAAGGCUUGACAUGAACCGGAAAGACCUGGAAACAGGUGCCCCGCUUGCGGUCGGUUUACAGGUGGUGCAUGGUGUCGUCAGCUCGUGUCGUGAGAUGUUGGGUUAAGUCCGCAACGAGCGCAACCCUCGUUCUAUGUUGCCAGC
rnacentral:rRNA from 1 species